CUCCUACGGGAGGCAGCAGUGGGGAAUUUUGGACAAUGGGCGCAAGCCUGAUCCAGCUAUUCCGCGUGUGGGAUGAAGGCCCUCGGGUUGUAAACCACUUUUGUAGAGAACGAAAAGACAUCUUCGAAUAAAGGAUGUUGCUGACGGUACUCUAAGAAUAAGCACCGGCUAACUACGUGCCAGCAGCCGCGGUAAUACGUAGGGUGCGAGCGUUAAUCGGAAUUACUGGGCGUAAAGGGUGCGCAGGCGGUUGAGUAAGACAGAUGUGAAAUCCCCGAGCUUAACUCGGGAAUGGCAUAUGUGACUGCUCGACUAGAGUGUGUCAGAGGGAGGUGGAAUUCCACGUGUAGCAGUGAAAUGCGUAGAUAUGUGGAAGAACACCGAUGGCGAAGGCAGCCUCCUGGGACAUAACUGACGCUCAGGCACGAAAGCGUGGGGAGCAAACAGGAUUAGAUACCCUGGUAGUCCACGCCCUAAAGGAUGUUAACUAGUUGUUGGGGUGUAACAAUCUCAGUAACGCAG
rnacentral:rRNA from 1 species